GCCGACGUGGCGGAAUGGUAGACGCAGGGGACUUAAAAUCCCUGAACGCGCGAGCGUUGUGCGGGUUCGAGUCCCGCCUUCGGCA
rnacentral:tRNA from 1 species